rnacentral:rRNA from 1 species
GACGAACGCUGGCGGCGUGCCUAAUACAUGCAAGUCGAACGCAGUGGGGAUGGGUGAGUAACACGUGGGUAACCUACCAUCAGAGGGGAUAAAACUUGGCAAAAGGUGCUAAACACAAACUGAAGGAUGGACCCGCGGUGCAUUAGCUUGUUGGUGAGGUAACGGCUCACCAAGGCCACGAUGCAUAGCCGGCCUGAGAGGGUGAUCGGCCACACUGGGACUGAGACACGGCCCAGACUCCUACGGGAGGCAGCAGUGGGGAAUCUUCGGCAAUGGACGAAAGUCUGACCGAGCAACGCCGCGUGAGUGAAGAAGGUUUUCGGAUCGUAAAACUCUGUUGUUAGAGAAGCGGUAUCUAACCAGAAAGCCACGGCUAACUACGUGCCAGCAGCCGCGGUAAUUC